UGGGGAAUCUUGCGCAAUGGCCGAAAGGCUGACGCAGCGACGCCGCGUGGGGGAUGACGCUUUUCGGAGUGUAAACCCCUGUUGCCCGGGACGAACCUCGUCUUUCGAGACGACUGACGGUACCGGGUGAGGAAGCACCGGCUAACUCCGUGCCAGCAGCCGCGGUAAUACGGAGGGUGCGAGCGUUGUCCGGAAUCACUGGGCGUAAAGGGCGCGUAGGCGGUGGGGGAAGUCCGUGGUGAAAGCUCGUGGCUCAACUGCGAGUCGGCCAAGGAUACUCCUUCACUUGAGCACUGUAGAGGCAGGUGGAAUUCCGGGUGUAGCGGUGGAAUGCGUAGAGAUCCGGAAGAACACCGGUGGCGAAGGCGGCCUGCUGGGCAGUAGCUGACGCUGAGGCGCGACAGCGUGGGGAGCAAACAGGAUUAGAUACCCCCGUAGUCC
rnacentral:rRNA from 1 species